rnacentral:rRNA from 1 species
UGGGGAAUUUUCCGCAAUGGGCGAAAGUCUGACGGAGCAACGCCGCGUGAGGGAUGAAGGCCUCUGGGCUGUAAACCUCUUUUCUCAAGGAAGAAGAUCUGACGGUACUUGAGGAAUAAGCCACGGCUAAUUCCGUGCCAGCAGCCGCGGUAAUACGGGAGUGGCAAGCGUUAUCCGGAAUUAUUGGGCGUAAAGCGUCCGCAGGCGGCCUCGUAAGUCUGUCGUUAAAGCGUGGAGCUUAACUCCAUUUCAGCGAUGGAAACUGCGAGGCUAGAGUGUGGUAGGGGCAGAGGGAAUUCCCGGUGUAGCGGUGAAAUGCGUAGAUAUCGGGAAGAACNCCAGUGGCGAAGGCGCUCUGCUGGGCCAUAACUGACGCUCAUGGACGAAAGCCAGGGGAGCGAAAGGGAUUAGAUACCCCUGUAGU